GUCCUGGCCCUAAACGGUGUUCACUUGGUGUGCGGGGAGUCGACCCCCUGCGUGCCGUAGCCAACGCGAUAAGUGAACCGCCUGGGAAGUACGACCGCAAGGUUAAAAACUCAAAUAAAUUGACGGGGGCCCGCACAAGCGGUGGAGCAUGUGGCUUAAUUCGAUGCAACGCGAAGAACCUUACCUGGCCUUGACAUGCUGGUAGUAGGAGCUAGAAAUAGCGACGAGCCUCGCAAGAGGCGAGCCAGCACAGGUGCUGCAUGGUUGUCGU
rnacentral:rRNA from 1 species